rnacentral:tRNA from 1 species
UUUGAUAUGGUGUAUUUGCAUUACACAUUUUGAUUGUGUAGGUGAUUAGUUAUCUAUCUUUC